GACGAACGCUGGCGGCGUGCUUAACACAUGCAAGUCGAGCGGAAAGGCCCCUUCGGGGGUACUCGAGCGGCGAACGGGUGAGUAACACGUGAGUAAUCUGCCCUUCACUUUGGGAUAACCCCCGGAAACGGGAGCUAAUACCGGAUACGACCACUCCACGCAUGUGGUGGUGGUGGAAACUUUUUUGGGUGGGGGAUGUGCUCGCGGCCUAUCAGCUUGUUGGUGGGGUAAUGGCCUACCAAGGCUUUGACGGGUAGCCGGCCUGAGAGGGUGACCGGCCACACUGGGACUGAGACACGGCCCAGACUCCUACGGGAGGCAGCAGUGGGGAAUAUUGGACAAUGGGCGGAAGCCUGAUCCAGCAACGCCGCGUGAGGGAUGACGGCCUUCGGGUUGUAAACCUCUUUCAGCACCGACGAAGCGCAAGUGACGGUAGGUGCAGAAGAAGGACCGGCCAACUACGUGCCAGCCGCCGCGGUAAUAC
rnacentral:rRNA from 1 species